rnacentral:rRNA from 1 species
GACGAACGCUGGCGGCGUGCCUAAUACAUGCAAGUUGAGCGCUGAAGGUUGGUACUUGUACCGACUGGAUGAGCAGCGAACGGGUGAGUAACGCGUGGGGAAUCUGCCUUUGAGCGGGGGACAACAUUUGGAAACGAAUGCUAAUACCGCAUAAAAACUUUAAACACAAGUUUUAAGUUUGAAAGAUGCAAUUGCAUCACUCAAAGAUGAUCCCGCGUUGUAUUAGCUAGUUGGUGAGGUAAAGGCUCACCACGGCGAUGAUACAUAGCCGACCUGAGAGGGUGAUCGGCCACAUUGGGACUGAGACACGGCCCAAACUCCUACGGGAGGCAGCAGUAGGGAAUCUUCGGCAAUGGACGAAAGUCUGACCGAGCAACGCCGCGUGGGUGAAGAAGGUUUUCGGAUCGUAAAACUCUGUUGGUAGAGAAGAACGUUGGUGAGAGUGGAAAGCUCAUCAAGUGACGGUAACUACCCAGAAAGGGACGGCUAACUACGUG